rnacentral:lncRNA from 1 species
UAUAAUAAAAAAACAAUUAAGAUAGAUACCAUAAUUUACUCUAAUCAAAAUAGAAAAUCCUAAAAUAAUGAAAAUUCUAGAAUCCUAAAUUAAUGUCCUACAUCAUUCUCUCCCUUUAAAAAAAAACUUGUCCUCGAGUUUGAAUACAAUCUGCAGGGUGAAACUUGUAGUGCAAGGCCAUAUCAUCUUUUAAUUCGAACUUAUGGUCUUUCUCAUCAAUUCUUCUCAAUACUUUGAAGAAUCCAUACUUCAUCAACUUCCUUCGCUUGUACAUUCUUCGUGGCGAUGAUGACUUCAAAAAAUGAACAAUGAUUAAAUAACUCUUGCUCUUCCCUAAUUGUUGCUCAAUGCACUCUCCAACGAAUUUCACCUUUUCAAUCAAAUCUUCUUCAAGCCUAACCUUCUUGUCUUUAAUGUGAAUAGGUAGAACUAUUCCGAUCAUUUCAUCUUCUUCAACUUGAUUUUGCUGCACAACCUUAACUGUAUUAUUAAGCUCAAUGCUCAAAUCAAGAAUAGGUUAUUCAUAUUCUUUAAAAAACUCAGAUAGCUCAAUAACCCCAUCAUCUUCAAUGCUAGUCUUUUCUCUGCCAAGAAAGUAUAUUGCACAUUCUUGGAUAAAUUUUCAAGUUAAGCAAUUGUUUGAUUAAAACUUCAUAAAUUCUUUUAAUUGCAUCAUCUAAGCUUCAUUGAAUUUGCAACUCGAUAUGCGACUUGAUUUGCAUGGCUAAAUGAAUUGCAUGUUGUAAUGUGGAGAUAAUAGGCAUCUUUUGUUGAAUUUGUAAACCAAGCCUCCUCACAAAUCUCAUAAUUUUAUCCUUUUCAAGUUCAUAAUAAUAUUUGCAUCCAUAAAAUUGUUCGAACUUAGAAGUAUAAUUAGAAAUUGAUUUUGUACCUUAUCAUACUAAACAAUAACCAAGAGCAAUAAAUCUCGAUCUCAACAUUCACUUUAUAUGAGUCCAUGAAGUAAUUUUGAAAAAACCUUUGACAAGUAAUCUACACCUUUGCAUUCUAGUCCAUUAUUCUAAAGCACUCCCUGUUAAUAGAAAAUUGGCUACAAAUUGUACUCAAUCGUACCUUGGCAAUCUAAUCAUAUAUUCUUGAUCAACCUUAUCCAACCAUGAAAGAAAAUAUUUAGGACUGCAAUUUCUAUCAAGCUUCCAUAUCAUGAUGCCUUUUGAAUAUUUGAAUCACAAAUUCAAAACCAAUGGCAAAACUGUAAAUAAGGCUGAGCUCUUGAGUUUGGUGUGGCCAACGACUGGUUGAUGUGAUUGGGACCAAAGAGGUCGAAUUUGGAGGAUUUAUGGUGAGGAACAUGAUGGUGGCCAAGGAUUGGCCAAAUUCGCAGCGGUUUGGCCGGAAAGCUAACUUAAAUUGUCGGCAACUUAUUGUUAAAGUGCAAUUUAUGCACUAGUUUUGCAUUGUUUACUUCCUUUAAUAUCGAUGUUUUGCACUUAAUAAUAGUGAUUUACUUGUGUUUUAUUUUUGUAGGUGCAAUUCUAUUGAUUGGCGCUAAAAUUGAGUUACAAGAUGAUGUUUCAGGAUGAUUGGUUUCCUGGAGAAAUUAUGAGCUUCAGAAGAACUUUGUUGAUAAGGCGUGGGCGCGUGCUGUCAACUAAGGACCUGCAAUUUUUAUUUUAACAUGUUUUAUCUUUUUGGUUAUUUUUGUAAUUUUGAAUUUAAUAUUUAGAUAAUAUUUUAGAUAUUAGUAUUUUAUUUUUGGGAGAACUCUAGAAGAGGGGAGAGACGUGAAAAACAAAGAGGAGGAGAUUUUUGAGAGAAAGAGAAACCAUAGAUCUAAAUUUUUCUCUUUUCUCUAUGAAGAACUAAACCUAUUAUUCUGGUUGAAGGUUAAUAAAGUUUUGAUUCAUCAUUACUGUGAGAUCUUUCUUAUGAUUUAAUUGUUUUAUUGCUUUUUGGGUUUUUUUUAUUCUCUAAAUUAUUGUCAUGAUUAUGUUUGUUAAUUAGAUAAUUGGCCACUAUUUAAUUAUCAACUUAAUCUAUUGUCAAUUAAAAGAUUCAUCGUAUGAAGAUUUUAAUGUUUGUGACAAAUAGCAUAGCAGUGCGUUGUGUUAUGAGAAUAAACAAUAUAAUUUAAAUGAACCAUCGUAUGCAUUUGUUGAUUAGGAUUUGUGUCUCUGAUUUUUCAGACCGUCAAUUGAUUAAACCUUAUGAUCGUAUCUAGGGUUUUCUAUUGAUUAGGGAAAUAACCAAUGGUCGUACCUUGGUUAUCAACUAGUUAAGGAGAGAUUGGCUAUUAGAGGGUUUCAGUAGCCAUAACCGGUCUAUUCAUAAAUAGUAAUGAUUUAUAUUUGAAUGAAUGAUCAGUAGUCGAAUCAAGCUGAGUUAAUUCCUUCAACCAGAGCUUUUCCCAAUUUGAAUUACAAUUUGAAUUUUCAUUCUUGUUAUUUUAAUUUGAUUUUUAUUAUUGUCAACAAUCCCCCCAUUUUUCAUUUUACAAUUUAAAAGGAUUUAAAUAAUUACCAAUCUCUGUGGACACGACCAUGCUCAAUCACUAUAUACAAUUUAUUUAGAGUAGAUAUUUAUUUUUGCUGGCUUCGACAACCAUUAAAACUUGGCACAUUAAAAUUUGGCACCAUUGCUGGGGAUUGGUGUCGUUUAUUUAAUUUUUUUUUACGUUUUACUUAGUGUAUGGUUCGUUCUUCUCGUACAGGUACACUUUCGUUUGAUCCUGAAAUUGAGAAGACAGCUCACCAUUUGAGACAGCAGACGAAGCGAGCUAAUCAACGAUCCUCAUCGCCUUUGCUUUCUGAAACAGAUACAGUGCCUGAUUUGGUUGAAUCAUCUAGCGAUUCAGAAGAAAAAGUUAUGGAUAGAGCUGCACCUAUAGAAAGAACUCUUAGAGAGUUAGCUGAACCAAACUUGAAUCAGCAACCACUCUGCAUUCAAUAUGCAGACUUGGUGGUAAAUUUUAAAUUAAAGUCUGGUCUUAUUCAUCUAUUACCCAAGUUUCAUGGUUUCGCUGGUGAAGAUCCUCAUAAACAUCUCAAGGAGUUUCAUGUUGUAUGUUCAAGUAUGAGACCACAAGGCAUGACUGAAGAGCGGAUUAAGCUGCGUGCUUUUCCUUUCUCUUUAGAUGGGCUAGCCAAAUACUGAUUGUACUACUUGCCUCCUGGAUCGAUUACAAUGUGGAAUGGUUUGAAGAAGCAGUUCCUCGAGAAGUACUUUCCUGCUUCAAGAGCUACUAACAUAAAAAAAAAAUAUUUAUGGGAUCAGACAACUUACUGGGGAGACUUUGUAUGAAUAUUGGGAGUGAUUUAAACAAUUGUGUGCCAGCUGUCCUUAACAUCAGAUUUCUGAUCAACUUAUUAUUCAAUACUUUUAUGAAGGACUGUCAUUGAUGGAUAAGAGUAUGAUAGAUGCUGCUAGUGGAGGUGUGUUGGUGAACAAGACGCCUACUCAAGUAAGGGAGUUAAUCUCAAAUAUGACUGCCAAUGCACAACAGUUUGGCAGCAGGCAAGAUCCCACUUCAAGGAAGGUAAAUGAGGUAAAUAUUUCUUCUAUUGAACAAUGUUUAGAUACACUUACUUCUCUUGUGGAAAAGUUUGUUGUAGGUAAUGUGCAAUAGGUGAAGACUUGUGGUAUUUGUUCCAAUAUGGGUCAUUCAACUGAUCUAUGUCCUACACUUCAAGAAGAACUCGUUGAACAAGCCAAUGCAGUUGGAGGAUUUCCAAGCAUGCCUCAAAGGAGGUAUGAUCCUUAUGCACAAACAUACAAUCCGGGAUGGAAUGAUCAUCCCAACUUCAGCUAUGGAAUUAGGCCGUCAGGAUUCCCACAACAAUACCCACUAAGACAACUAGCCCUUUCACAGUCAAACUCCAAGUCAGGUAUAUCUCUUGAAGAAAUUGUUAAAUCACUUGCGAUUAACACUCAACAAGUUCGUUAUUUCCUUGGUCACGCAGGUUUCUAUCGACGUUUUAUUAAGGAUUUUUCAAAGAUAGCUCAGCCAUUAUGCAAGCUGCUUUGGAAAGAUGUGACGUUUAAUUUUAAUGAAGCAUGCAAGGUAGCCUUUGAUAAGAUUAAGGAGUUAUUUACUUCAGCUCUAAUUAUACAGCCACUCGAUUGGAGCUUCCCUUUUGAGAUAAUGUGUGACGCCAGUAACUAUGUUGUUGGUGUUGUUCUCGAACAAAGGGUUGGAAGAGCUGCUCAUGUGAUAUAUUACGCAUCAAGGACACUUAAUAGUGCUCAGUGCAAUUACUCAACAACGGAAAAAGAACUUUUGGCUAUUGUUUUUACUUUAGAAAAAUUUCGUUCAUAUUUAUUGGGUACUAAAGUGAUUGUUUUUUCUGACCAUGCAGCUCUUAAAUAUUUGCUCGCCAAGAAAGAAGCGAAAUCAAGACUCAUCCGCUGGAUCCUACUACUUCAAGAGUUCAACUUGGAGAUCCGUGAUAAGAAAUGAGCAAAAAACUUGGUUGCAGACCACCUUAGUAGAUUGAUCACGAGUGAAGAAGUAGCACCUUUGAAUGAUGAUUUUCCAGAUGAACAUCUCUUUGUAACUCAAGGUAUGGUUCCUUGGCACGCUGACAUUGUUAAUUACUUAGUUACAAGAAUACUACCUAGUGAUCUGACGAGGGCUCAAAAAAAUAAGAUUAAGAGCGAUGAUGAGUACUAUGUUUGGGAUGACCCCUUACUUGUGGAAACAUUACUCUGACCAAAUCAUCAGAAGGUGAGUAUCUGAGUUUGAAAUUCCUUUUAUUCUUCAGUUUUGUCACUCAUAUGCAUGUGGUGGUCAUUUUGGUCUCAAAAGGACAGCAUCUAAGGUGUUAGAAUGUGGUCUAUUUUGGCCUACUUUAUUUCGUGAUUCAUACAUGUUUUGUAAGUCAUGUGAGAAUUGUCAAAAGACUGGCAAUUUAAGUCAUAGGAAUCAAAUGCCACUUACCCCUAUUCUUGUGUGUGAAUUAUUCGAUGUGUGGGGCAUUGAUUUUAUGAGACAUUUUCCCUCAUCUUUUGGCAAUGCUUACAUUCUUUUAGCAGUGGAUUACGUUUCUAAGUGGGUAGAGGCUAAGGCCACCCGACCUGAUAAUGCUAAAGUUAUUGUAAAUUUUUGCAAGUCUAAUAUUUUUGCCAGGUUUGGUGUACCGAAAGUAGUGAUAAGUGAUAAAGGCACUCAUUUUUGUAAUCGGGUAGUGAAGACUUUGUUCAAGAAAUAUCAUGUUACCCACCAAGUGUCUACCACCUAUCAUCCACAGACAAGUGGACAAGCUGAGAUAUCAAAUAGAGAAAUCAAGUCUAUUCUUGAAAAGACGGUUAGUCCAAAUCGAAAGGAUUGGAGCUUACGAUUAGAUGAUGCAUUGUGUGCGUAUCGCACCGCGUACAAAACUCCCAUAAGUAUGUCUCCUUAUCGUUUAGUAUUUGGUAAGCCUUGUCAUUUACCUGUAGAGCUUGAGCACAGAGCAUACUGGGCGGUUAAGUAAUGCAAUAUGCGGAUGGAUGAAGCAGGAAAUCAGAGGAAGUUGCAGCUGCAAGAGUUGGAGGAGAUUAGAAACGAAUCCGAUGAGAGUUCACGAUUUUACAAGGAAAAGACGAAGACAUUUCAUGACAGAAUGAUUUUGAAAAAUGAGUUCUCUGUUGGUCAAAAAGUUCUUCUUUUUCAUUCUAAGCUUAAACUUUUUCCUGGUAAAUUACGUUCUCACUGGGUUGGACCUUUUAUUGUUACUAAUGUUUUUCCUCAUGGUGCAAUUGAGAUUCGGAGUCCGACCUCUGGCAAAGUUUUUAAGGUUAAUGGUCAUCACUUAAAACUUUUUUAUGAAGGUUUUUUGGUGAAUAUUGUGGAGGAAGUGGCUCUCGAGAGUCUCAUUUAUGGAGAUUGAUGCAUUUAUGUGUCUAGCCAAAGACAUAAAACAAAGGCGCUUUUUGUGAGGCAACCCGAAAGAUUUAUUUAUUUUGAUUUUUGUUAUAUCUUUUGUUUUUAAUUUUGAUUCAGAUUGUUUAAAUUAUGUUUUUGCUUAUUUUGGCCAGAAGAAAAUUUUUGGUUAGGCGUGGCCACAUUUUAACUAAUAAGUACUUCUGUGAUUUUAAAGUAAAAUGGUUUUAAGGCUGGCACAUAUGCUUAUUAAAAAAGUACUUAUGUAAUUUUUUUUAGUGUCUCAUGUGUCUCUUUUAGUUUUUAGUAUCAUUAAAAAAAUCAAAAAUAAAAAGGUUUUUUUUUAUUUUAUUUGAAAAAAAUUAAAAAAAAAGAAGAUUUUUUUAGGAUUUUAAUCCCUAGUGUGCAGCACCAGCCACGUCCCCAGCCACGCAACCAACAACCCCCCAAUUGCAUCCGCAUCCCCAGCUCCAUCCCGCAUCUCCUGCGCGCGUCUGCACCAACCCUGCAAGCAGCCCACGCUCAGCUCCAUCCCGCAGCUCCAGCGUGCGUCUACAACAGCCCUGCCGCGCGCUCCAUCCAGUAUCCAGCCCACGUCUCCAGCGCUGCAUCUCGCGCAGUCAGCAGCCGCGUCACUCUCCUAUGUUCAAAGGACUGCCGCUUUUCACAUUCAAACAAAACCCGUGAGUGAAAUUACUGUAACAAUGCCAAAGAGGAACAACUUGUGACAUUAGGAUUCAUUGAUGAUGAUUAUUCUUCUAGUGAUGCAUAUUUAGGAACAACUUGUGACUUUAGCAAAAAUUUUGAGCCUUAUGGUCUUUGGUGUAAUUUAUCUUUUGAUCACAAUGCCUAUGACCCGAGUAAAUCAAAGAGCUCUUUCUUACGUGAUCCUGUUUUGAAAUGUGUGCAUCAGUUCUUAGCAUAUAAUUGUUUAGGUAAGAAAGAUCACUCGAGAGUUUUCUCUAAAACUGAGUUUUAUUUUAUUUGGUGCAUGUUAAAUGAUGUGCGGCCUAAUCUAGGUUUUUGAUUAGCAGAUCAAUUCAGAGUGUGCUUAAAAGGUAUAGGACUUUAUUUCUUGGUCCAUACAUUACUCUGUUAGCUAUAAACUUAUGUGUGCUUGAUCCUGACAAUAAUGAUUUACAUCUUGCUUGCAAAAAGGAAUUUUUAGAUAUGUCUUUGUUUGAAAGAACAUGUGUGGUCGAAUUCAAGGAGGGGAGAUUUUAGUUUACUGAACCAGGACCCACUCAAAUUCUAAAUAAGCUUUAUACUAGGAGUGGUGCUACCUCUGAUGACGAGUUUGACGACGAAACUACUGUCACACCAACUAUUCCUUCUACAUCUGCACUACCUUUGAGCAUUCAGUUAGAGAAAAUGGAGCACAAGCUGAACAAGAUAGAGCAGAAUUUGGCCGCAUACUUUGAGAGUAUGGGAUUUAUCCUACCAUUUCCACCAAGCCCAUAGACGUUAUGUGGAUCAAAGCUCACAAUUCAGGGAUGUUUUGCCUUUAAUUAUCUUAUAUUGGGGACAAUGUAAGUUCUUGGUGUGGGGGAUGGAUUUUUAUACUAUUGAUGUCUGGAAGUAUUAUUUUUACUCUACUCAUCCUUAAAUGAUUUUGGAGUUAGUAUGCUUCAUAUAUUAUUAAUUUUCUUUUCCUUUCUCUCUCACUACUCUUUUAACAUCUAUCUUAAAUUAUUUACAUCUAUUUUUAUUCUAUCAUACUCUUUCAUCACUCACAUUUUAUCUUUCAUUUUUUUUAACUACAUACAUCUUUCUCGCUUAUUAUCCUUUUUACCUUUCCUUUUAUAUCUCACUCAUACCUUCUUCUCAUUCUACACCACUAUUGAUGGUUGAUUCAUUUGAAGAGUGUACAUGAUUUGAUGGCAAAUUUACCAACUUUGUGAGGAUUUGAGCCUAUGAGCAACCACUUUGCUCUAAUUAUUUUUGUUAUGUAAAUAUCAAUCUUAGUUUGUUUAUUCUAGAACUUGCUUUAUUAUGCAUGUUGAAGCCGCAUUACAGGAUUUUAUGCAUUAAAAUGAUAAGGGCAAACCACUUUCCAUUUUUCUAUUUUCGCAUUUUUCUUCUUUUUCUCCACCCGAAGACCUUUAUUUGUUAUUUUUGUUUGAGCCUUAACCAUUCUCUUCACUUGUUUUACCCAUCUAAUUCUCUCCAUCUACUUACCCAUUUUCCUUCUUUUUGAGCCUCAAUUUAAGGAGAUUUUUGGACUCAUUGUUUGGAUAUAUAUACAUUGCUCUUGCUACCUUGAAUUAAAGUUUCUCAAUUAGAUCAACAAGCAUUAUGCUUGAAUUAAAUUGUGCAAGGUUCAUUUCUUGUGUUUGGUUCACCAUUACUGUGAGAAAAAAAUAAAAAAAAUAAAAAUAAAUAAAAAAAGAAAAAAAAAGAGAAAAAAGUGCUUACAUUCUUGGCGACUUGAGUAGAAAUAAGCGUUUUGAUAUUAUAAAGUUCAUUCAAUGAGUUCAUUCUUCUCAUUUUGAUCUCUUUUUCAUUUAACCCAUUUAACCCUGUUACAACCUUUUUAAGACCCUUAAGAUUUUUGUAUUUAAUUCAUGUUUUGUGUAUUGAGAUGUGAUAUAUGAGCAAGCUUAUGGUAAUAGCAUUCUUUGAUUUGAUUUGAGUGCAUAAAUGAUACCCUAAACACUUUGAGUGCAUAAAUGAUACCCUAAACACUUUGAGUGCAUGGAGUGAAGUCAAUGAGAGGGCUAUUAAAUCUUGUUGUACUUGAAUUUUGAAUGGAUCUUCUUGGUGGUUGAAUGUUCUUAUUCUAUCUUAUGAGAUCAUAUGCUUUAAAAUCCUUGUCUCUCGAAUGUUGAUUGACUUAAAUUCUUGAGGUAUGCUUGCUUAAGAUUGUUUUUGGAUGAGUUGAGAUGAGAAUUGAGUGGAGAUUUGGGAUUAAUCUUGAGUUAUAUGCUUGAGGACAAGCAUCAUCUUAGUGUGGGGGAAUUUGUUAGAGUGCAAUUUAUGCACUAGUUUUUUAUUGUUUACUUCCCUUAAUAUCGAUGUUUUGCACUUAAUAAUAAUGAUUUACUUGUGUUUUACUUUUGUAGGUGCAAUUCUAUUGAUUUGUGAUAAAAUUGAGCUAUAAGAUGAUGUUUAAAGAUGAUUGUUCUCUUGGAGAAAUUAUGAGCGUCAGAAGAACUUUGUUGAUAAGGCGUGGGCGCGUGCUGUCAACUAAGAACCUGUAGUUGUUAUUUUAACUUGUUUUAUCUUUUUGGUUAUUUUUUUAAUUUUGAAUUUAAUAUUUAGAUAAUAUUUUAGAUAUUAGUAUUUUAUUUUCGGGAGACCUCUAGAAGAGGGGAGAGACGUGAAAAACAAAGAGGAGGAGAUUUUUGAGAGAAAGAGAAACCGUAGAUCUAAAUUUUUCUCUUUUCUCUAUGAGGAACUAAACCUAUUAUUCUGGUUGAAGGUUAAUAAAGUUUUGAUUCAUCAUUACUGUGAGAUCUUUCUUAUGCUUUAAUUGUUUUAUUGCUUUUUGGGUAUUUGUUUGUUCUCUAAAUUAUUGUCAUGAUUAUGUUUGUUAAUUAGAUAAUUGGCCACUAUUUAAUUAUCAACUUAAUCUAUUGUCAAUUAAAAGAUUCAUCGUAUGAAGAUUUUAAUGUUUGUGACAAAUAGCAUAGCAGUGCGUUGUGUUGUGAGAAUAAAUAAUCUAAUUUAAAUGAAUCAUCGUAUGUGUUGAUUACGAUUUGGGUCUCUCUGGUUUUUCAGGCUAUCAAUUGAUUAAAUCUUAUGAUCAUAUCUAGAGUUGUCUAUUGAUUAGGGAAAUAACCAAUGGUUGUACCUUGGUUAUCAACUAGUUAAGGAGAGAUUGGCUAUUAGAGGGUCUCCGUAGGUAUAAUCGGUCUAUUCAUAAGUAGUAAUGAUUUAUAUUUGAAUGAAUGAUCAAUAGUCGAAUCAAGCUGAGUUAAUUCCUUCAACCAGAGCUUUUCCCAAUUUGAAUUACAAUUUUAAUUUUCAUUCUUGUUAUUUUAAUUUGAUUUUUAUUAUUGUCAACAAUCCCCCCAUUUUACAUUUUACAAUUUAAAAGGAUUUAAAUAAUUACCGAUAUCUGUGGACACGACCCUACUCAAUCACUAUAUACAAUUUAUUUAGAGUAGGUAUUUAUUUUUGCUGGCUUCGGCAACCAUCACUUAUGGUAUUUCGUGGCAGUUUUUGGCCAAUGUUUUGUGGUGAUUGAUGAUUGGUUUUGGAUGUGUGGCUAGAGAGGAGUCUGAUGGUGGUGUCCGCUAACAGUAAAGGGCAAUUAUUUUGCAGCGGCGAGUGGGCAGAGAGCUCGCGAUUUUUGGUUGAUUUGCAACGGCUAUACGGUUGGUUCACAUGGAAGCUGGUCAAGUUUUGAUUAGUGGAGGCUGACGAAUUUGGUGGUAGUGUUAGCUGACGGUGAAGGUAGUUGAUAAUGGUGGAUUGAGUUGUGGAAAGUCGCAGGUUUGGGUGCUUUCAUAUGGAGGUUGUGGGCGGCAGUCAAGGGCUGAAGUUGAUAUGCUUUUGGGGUGCAAUGGUCGGAGAGUUUGAUGGUUACAGUGGCUGCUAGAGGAAGUAGUGGUGGAGGGGACAACGGCUAGCUUUUUAAAUUUUGAAUUUUUAUGAUUUUUUGGUUUUUGGUUUUGUUAUUUUAUUGGUGGAUUUAAUGGGAUGGUUGUAGGUAGCCAAGAAAGCUCUGAGAUUCACAAAAAACUUCUCUAAUACCAACUAAUAGAGUGGGCGUAGAAAAGCGAAAUUGAUAAGGUAGGAAACACUAGAUAUUGUUUUAGUACUGGACCAAGCAAACGCGAUUGGCUUAUGCUCCAAUCGAGGCAUGGUUAGUUCUGUUCUAGUCAAAAUGACUCAAUGAGUUUUUUAAUAAUGCUUAAAGCGAGAUUAGAUGAUGCUCUAGUCCAAACAAUUCUAUAAAAGAGAUUUCAACAAAAAAUCCCAAAGGGAAAUAGAAAAAGAGGUUUUAUUGAAUAAUUGAAACUGAAGUUACAAUAAAGGCCUCUCUAUUUAUAAUAGAGUAAGUUACUUCUCUAAGCUAACUUUAAACGAGAAACUAAAUCACAAUUAUAAUAAAAAUAAAAGAUUAAGACACAUAAUAUAAUUGAUUCUAAUUAAAAUAAAAAAUCCUAAAAUAAUAAAAAUUAUAGAAUCCUAAAUUAACGUCCUACAUCAAGAAUUAUCUUAUGUAACAACCGUUAUUACAUAAUUAAUUUAUAAAUACCAAACUUAGCAGUAACUACAAAGAUCUGUCAUUAUAAUUGAUUUGACCCUUUUUUUUUCAUUUGGACCAACUAAAUUUUGAUAGGACUACAGGUAUGCAAAGGUGACAUCAAAGAGCUUCGGUGAUGAUCUCAUGCACUAGUCAGUGGAUUCUUUUUCUUUAAGUGUUAAGCUAAUAAAAUUUUAAUAAUCAUGGUGGAAUUUGGGAUUGCUUAAUUGAAUUUUGCCAUUAGGAGACUAUUUUCUUAAUUACUUCAUAGAUAAUUAAAUUUGCAACAUGCACUUAAAUUUUUAGUUGCUUUCACUUGAUGCCUUACGUAUAUAAAUUGUGUAUUCAUAGAGAAUAGUUUUAGCUACUUUUAAUGUUCCUAUAUCUAUAAGCCACUUUUAUUUUUUUUCUACCUACUUACUUAAAUGUCAUCUUCAACAUACUUAACAAGUAGGUCUAUAAUUAUUUCCCAUAUCCAAGUAUACUUUUACUAUAUCCCUGUGGAUGACUACAAUCUUUUGCUACACUCACCCAUUUCAUCCUAACCUUGCCUUAAUAAAAAACUCUAUCCCUUAUAUAAUUAAAAGAGAAGUUUCCACUUUUCUGCAGCUUUGUUUCUGUUGUAUAUCUUCUAGUUGGAUCAUGUACUUUCUCGUUUUUUAGACUAUUGGUCUUCACGUCUUGCUACAAGUUUCAGUUUCAAUCUCUCACUUGUUGCAUUUGCUCCAUAAGCCACAUUCUGGCUUUCUUAAGUGAUAUAAUUUCAGUAUGUAUGCAAAAGCCACACUUCUAUAUUAUGCUGUUGUCAUUGUGAUGGAUUGCCAAUAUUCUUUUCUGACAUAUAUGUUAUAAAUUUGCGCGAGAGAGCCUAUUUUCUAUUUAAUAAAAAGAUCAGUUCAUGCUUAAAAAUUUUAAAUUUGUGCUUAUUUUAGGAACAAUUUCAAUAAUUUCAUUAUUGAUGAAUGACAUG